rnacentral:rRNA from 1 species
UGGCCGUAGCAGUAGUCAGUUGGAAGCUUGCUUCCAACCUGGCUUAGCGGCGGACGGGUGAGUAACACGUAGGCAACCUACCCUCUAGACUGGGAUAACUACCGGAAACGGUAGCUAAUACCGGAUAAUUCCUUGGCCCUCCUGGGCUUGGGAUGAAAGGCGGAGCAAUCUGCUGCUAGAGGAUGGGCCUGCGGCGCAUUAGCUAGUUGGUGGGGUAACGGCCCACCAAGGCGACGAUGCGUAGCCGACCUGAGAGGGUGAACGGCCACACUGGGACUGAGACACGGCCCAGACUCCUACGGGAGGCAGCAGUAGGGAAUCUUCCGCAAUGGGCGAAAGCCUGACGGAGCAACGCCGCGUGAGUGAUGAAGGUUUUCGGAUCGUAAAGCUCUGUUGCCAGGGAAGAACGUCCGGUAGAGUAACUGCUGCCGGAGUGACGGUACCUGAGAAGAAAGCCCCGGCUAACUACGUGCCAGCAGCCGCGGUAAUACGUAGGGGGCAAGCGUUGUCCGGAAUUAUUGGGCGUAAAGCGCGCGCAGGCGGCGACUUAAGUCUGGUGUUUAAACCUUGGGCUCAACCUGGGGUCGCACUGGAAACUGGGGUGGCUUGAGUACAGAAGAGGAAAGUGGAAUCCACGUGUAGCGGUGAAAUGCGUAGAGAUGUGGGAGGAACCACCAGUGGCGAAGGCGACUUUCUGGGCUGUAACUGACCGCUGAGGCGCGAAGGCGUGGGGGAGCAAA